UGUUUUCAUGUAACUCAAUUAGUUUGUCAAAUGAAAUCAAAAAUAUUUAAUUCUAAAGUUUUCUAAAGUUUUAAGUAUGAUUCUUUUGAUUUUUUUUAUUUUUCAAAUUAUUUUAAUUUUUUCCUAAAAACAUUAUUGGCUGAUAGAAUUUUCCUGGGGGCUUAAAUAAAUUUUCAAUAACAAAAAAUAUAGAAAUUAGUUGGCACUGUGUACAAUUUCAUUAAUGCUAUUUACUUAUUUCUUAAAUGCGCUGUACAUUUCAUUAAUUUUUUAGAUUAAAAACAAAGUAAAUUUCAUUAAAGGCUAUUGAAUGCAGAAUUUAGUUGACGAAAAUACUCUGGCUGCCUUCGCAUCGAAUAGUUACUGAGGUUCAUUGCUUCUACAAUUUUGUUGCAUUCUCAUUUGGCAGGGGUGAAAGAUUUAAGGAAGCAGAACAUUUUAUUUGCGAAAAGUUUCCUAAGAAGACUGCAUAAAUCCAGGGUAUCCUUUGCACAACACAGUCUUACCAAUUUCACAUGCUUACUGCUCAAGGAGUGAGUGGAAGAUUUAGAAAGGCAGAAAAUCGUUUGCAGAAAGUUCCCAGAACAACACAAGCAGUUCCCAAAACAACACAAGCAGAUGGUAGAAAUCCAGGCUAUCUUUUCCACGAGACAGUGUUCUAGCCUUGUUAUGCUUACUGCACAAGAUUAAGCAAAACAAAAUAGUGUUUUACCUAUUUUGCACAUCUGGAACUUGUAUCAAGGUCAACAAAAAGCCAUUAUCAAAAGCAACAAUUAUCUAAACUCCAAUUCUGCAACUUUUGCAAACGAUAGCUUUUGCACAAGUUAAAAUGGAAGACACAGCAUCUGACCACAACUUGUCAUCAAAAAAACGCAAACAAAAUGAAAAUACCUCACAAAUAGCCUGUGACCAAAGCAACCCCCCCGACAAUGCGACCAACUCAAACAACAACCAAGAACAUAAAAGG